CGGAAUAAUAAGCAGCCGUUGCAUAAGGCAUACUCAAUGGCUCCCCCAUUAACCAUUUCGCGAGUAUAAGAAGACCGUGUUUUCACCAAUCGGUACCCAGCAGCUUCUACAAGUUCAACGGAACACUAUUGAGAAAAAAAAAAAUAACCAAAAUGUCACGAGUUAUUUUACUUCUAUCAAUAAUUUUAUUCAUUGGCUGCUUCUUUGCUGAUGCAAACGAAUCAUGUGCAGGCCAUUGGUGUGCUUGGAACUCUCCUUGUGGCUGUAAUUAUUACGCUUGUAACGCUUUUACGAACGGCAGGUGCGUAUAUGAUAAUGAUGAUAUAGGAAGGAAGUAAACCCGAUUUUCUCUAAAAGUGAAGUUUUAGAAAUUUCCUGUCAGAAGUAUACUACAAAUUUCAAAUUGUAGAUUUUUGUGACGAAAAAUGGCACCUUAUGAAUAUUGUAAUAUUGGUCUUAUUCAAUACUAAUAAUUAUGAUAAUAAUAAUAAAAA